rnacentral:rRNA from 1 species
AGAGAGAGACAUGCGCGCAUAUCAAUAAGCGGAGGAAAAGAAACUAACAAGGAUUCCCUUAGUAACGGCGAGUGAAGCGGGAAGAGCUCAAAUUUGAAAUCUUCAAGGUUUUACCUUGACGAAUUGUAGUUUAAAGAAGUGUUUUCUGCUGAAGUUUUGGUAAAAGUUCUUUGGAAUAGGACAUCAUAGAGGGUGAGAAUCCCGUAUUUGACCAUUAUUUUCAGCUUUGUGAUACACUUUCAAAGAGUCGGACUGUUUGGGAAUGCAGUCCAAAAUGGGUGGUAAAUUUCAUCUAAAGCUAAAUAUUGGCGAGAGACCGAUAGCGAACAAGUACCGUGAGGGAAAGAUGAAAAGAACUUUGAAAAGAGAGUUGAACAGUACGUGAAAUUGUCAAAAGGGAAGCGUUUGACACCAGUGUUGUUUUCUCGAAAAUCAAUUAAAAAUGGCUCGAUUUUGUAUUGCUGAGACCUUAAAAGCUCACUGUACAUUUUUCGUGUCUUUUUUAAUGCACUUUUCGUUUAACAAGUCAACAUCAGUUUCUUUUGUUGUAAAAGGGUCAUUGGAAGGUGGCUUUCUUUUCGGAGAAAGUGUUUAUAGCCUUUGGCCUCUGCAAUCGGAGAGACUGAGGUCUGCAGCGUAGACUCUUCGGGGUUAGAUACAUUUGUGCUAAGUUAUAGCUUUUUAUAGACAACUUGUUGACUAUAAUUAGUCUUGUAGCUUACUCGCUUAUGCUAUUUUACCUACGCUUAGGAUGUUGAAGAUGUAGCACAUCAU